UCCUCUUUUUUUUUCGUUCUUUUCGACUUACUUUUCUAUUUUUUUCUUUUUCGUUUUUGCCUACACACCUUACUCCUAAAAAAUUAAUUUAAUUUUUUUUUUCAAAAAUCAAUCCGUCAAAUGACCACGUUACCCUUAAUAAUGCAACAGUUAGCACGUAGGGAUGCUUUAAAGGGGAGUCUCCUACAAAGGGCCAUGUGGGUCCCGCUAGGUCUCCGCAUGAUGCACAUAAGCAUGACCUAAAGGCUGACCUACAUUGUGGUUUA
rnacentral:lncRNA from 1 species